UUCUGUGCUGUGGCCCGAGCGAAAGCCAUGUUGAUUGCAGUUUAGAAGUUUUGGAUGCUGGAGGUGUUUCUGAAUAUGGGGGCGACUGAACAGGAAGUGUAAACAGCUAUUUAUUUACUCGUAAUAAAUGGAAAUAAAACGAUACAAUUACGUUACCUUUAGAGAUUUGACAUAAUAGUCAAUACAUGCGUCGUGUUUGGCUGAAAUUUUUCGUAUAGCUGACGCAAAACACAAGGAAAGGAGCACAUCUCAAUGCAAGGGGGUUUACAGAUUAAUGAUGUGCUUUUAACCAGUUUCGACCAACUUCAGCUUUUCUUCAGAUAGGCAUGCCAAACCCCUGAUACUGCUGUAUAAUGUGUUACUCUACACGGUUUGGUGAAGUUUUUCCUGCUACUAUCUGCUUCUGCAACUGGAGUAAUGCUGAGGUGCUCCAGAUUUGGCGCCCAUGGCUUGCAGCUGCUUUGCCCAGCAGGUGUAGGAGUACGACACGUAUGUUGCCACAAACAUAUGUGAGAUGCUGAUGAAAUAGGACAACACAGGAGAAUAAGAAACUGUUAAAUUUUUCAAACAUCAGUUAAUGUGAAAACUUAGGCUAAAAAGAGCAAAGACCUUUUUCAAAGAAAAACUACUCAGAAACAUAAUGUAUUUAUGUAUAUUUAUGAUUGUAACUUGUGAUGUUUAUGUUUUAUUUUUAUGUCACUUAAAUCAAAUUAAUACAAAAUAAGUACUAUCAAGAAACAUGAACUGUGAAAUGCCACCAUCUGGUGGGGGACAGACUAAUAGACUCAUGAAUGAAAGAAACAAAAGACUGAUGCAAAUGGUUGAAUGGCACUUACAGUACAAUAUAUGUAUUAUCACUACCAUUUGAGGGGGAAUAUGUAAAAGCCCCAUACCGAUAAAUCAGUG